UACGAAGGGGACUAGCGUUGUUCGGAAUCACUGGGCGUAAAGCGCACGUAGGCGGAUGUGUCAGUCAGGGGUGAAAUCCCGGGGCUCAACCUCGGAACUGCCUUUGAUACAGCACGUCUCGAGUCCGGAAGAGGUGGGUGGAAUUCCUAGUGUAGAGGUGAAAUUCGUAGAUAUUCGCAAGAACACCAGUGGCGAAGGCGGCUCACUGGCCCGGUUCUGACGCUGAGGCGCGAAAGCGUGGGGAGCAAACAGG
rnacentral:rRNA from 1 species